GGAGCCCUGUAUGAAGUCUGGCAGCUUGUUGUAGCUGUUGGUUUGAAACAGAGGCCAAAAGGAAGGCCUUCCCAUGGUCUGUUGGUUUUCCCCCAUUUUUCUAAAGGGGAAACCCAAUUCAGUUGGAAGGAACAGCU